GUCGGACCGACUGGCAAUGGUUAGUGUCAACUGGAGCAAGCCACUGGGAGAUGAGGACGAUUACAAAGCUUAAUUGUUAUCAUAAAUGGAAACAGACUGUACCCAAUAAACUAAAGGAAAAGGCUUGUGACCCUUAACCUUGAGAACUGCUGCUCAGGCUGGAGAGAUGGCUCAGCAGUUAAGAAAACUGGCUGCUCUUCCAGAGGUCCUGAGUUCAAAUCCCAGCAACCACAUGGUGACUCACUACUGUCGUUAAUAGGAUUGGAUCCCCACGUCUAGCAUGCAGCAUUAUUGAUUGAACUCCGAGCCCUGUGCACACCAGCCAAGCACUCUACCUCCGAGGCUGCUUCCGUGGACUCAUAAUUUCUACUUUAGAAACUCUAUUUUUAAAAAUAUUGCUAUUGCUGGCUUAUUAUGAGGAGUGCAACUGAAGAACAGCCAUAAAAGAAAGGGAUGG
ensembl:lncRNA